CCUACGGGGUGCAGCAGUGAGGAAUAUUGGUCAAUGGACGAGAGUCUGAACCAGCCAAGUAGCGUGAAGGAUGACUGCCCUAUGGGUUGUAAACUUCUUUUAUAUGGGAAUAAAACGUUCCACGUGUGGGAUUUUGUAUGUACCAUAUGAAUAAGGAUCGGCUAACUCCGUGCCAGCAGCCGCGGUAAUACGGAGGAUCCGAGCGUUAUCCGGAUUUAUUGGGGUUAAAGGGAGCGUAGGUGGAUUGUUAAGUCAGUUGUGAAAGUUUGCGGCUCAACCGUAAAAUUGCAGUUGAAACUGGCAGUCUUGAGUACAGUAGAGGUGUGCGGAAUUCGUGGUGUAGCGGUGAAAUGCUUAGAUAUCACGAAGAACUCCGAUUGCGAAGGCAGUUCACUGGACUGCAACUGACACUGAGGCUCGAAAGUGUGGGUAUCAAACAGGAUUAGAUACCCGUGUAGUC
rnacentral:rRNA from 1 species